GCCCGUGUAGCUCAGUGGUAGAGCAUUGUACUUAUGAGGUUACCUAUCCCCUGUCUGUAGAUUGGAAUUCCAUGCAAGGGUCCCGAGUUCAAUCCUCGGCGUGGGCA